rnacentral:rRNA from 1 species
UACGUAGGGUGCAAGCGUUGUCCGGAAUUAUUGGGCGUAAAGAGCUCGUAGGCGGUCUGUCGCGUCGGCUGUGAAAUCCCGAGGCUCAACCUCGGGUCUGCAGUCGAUACGGGCAGGCUAGAGUUCGGUAGGGGAGACUGGAAUUCCUGGUGUAGCGGUGAAAUGCGUAGAUAUUGGGAGGAACACCAGUGGCGAAGGCGGCUCACUGGACCGGUUCUGACGCUGAGGCGCGAAAGCGUGGGGAGCAAACGGG